GCAGCACGGGGGCAACCCUGGUGGCGAGUGGCGAACGGGUGAGUAACAUAUCGGAACGUGCCCUGGAGUGGGGGAUAACUAGUCGAAAGAUUAGCUAAUACCGCAUACGAUCUACGGAUGAAAGUGGGGGAUCGCAAGACCUCAUGCUCGUGGAGCGGCCGAUAUCUGAUUAGCUAGUUGGUGGGGUAAAGGCCUACCAAGGCAUCGAUCAGUAGCUGGUCUGAGAGGACGACCAGCCACACUGGGACUGAGACACGGCCCAGACUCCUACGGGAGGCAGCAGUGGGGAAUUUUGGACAAUGGGCGCAAGCCUGAUCCAGCAAUGCCGCGUGAGUGAAGAAGGCCUUCGGGUUGUAAAGCUCUUUUGUCAGGGAAGAAACGGUGGAGGUUAAUACCUUCUGCUAAUGACGGUACCUGAAGAAUAAGCACCGGCUAACUACGUGCCAGCAGCCGCGGUAAUACGUAGGGUGCAAGCGUUAAUCGGAAUUACUGGGCGUAAAGCGUGCGCAGGCGGUUGUGCAAGACAGAUGUGAAAUCCCCGGGCUCAACCUGGGAAUUGCAUUUGUGACUGUACGGCUAGAGUGUGUCAGAGGGGGGUAGAAUUCCACGUGUAGCAGUGAAAUGCGUAGAGAUGUGGAGGAAUACCGAUGGCGAANGCAGCCCCCUGGGAUAACACUGACGCUCAUGCACGAAAGCGUGGGGGAGCAAACAGGAUUAGAUACCCUGGUAGUCCACGCCCUAAACGAUGUCUACUAGUUGUCGGGUCUUUAUUGACUUGGUAACGCAGCUAACGCGUGAAGUANACCGCCNGGGGANUACGGUCGCAAGAUUAAAACUCAAAGGAAUUGACGGGGACCCGCACAAGCGGUGGAUGAUGUGG
rnacentral:rRNA from 1 species